UAACGGCGAGCGAACCGGGAAGAGCUCAAAUUUGAAAUCUGGCGUCCUCAGGGCGUCCGAGUUGUAAUCUAUAGAGGCGUUUUCCGUGCCGGACCGUGUCCAAGUCCCUUGGAACAGGGUAUCAAAGAGGGUGACAAUCCCGUACUUGACACGACCACCGGUGCUCUGUGAUACGUCUUCUACGAGUCGAGUUGUUUGGGAAUGCAGCUCAAAAUGGGUGGUAAACUCCAUCUAAAGCUAAAUAUUGGUGGGAGACCGAUAGCGAACAAGUACCGUGAGGGAAAGAUGAAAAGCACUUUGGAAAGAGAGUUAAACAGUAUGUGAAAUUGUUGAAAGGGAAACGAUUGAAGUCAGUCGUGUCCAUUGGAUUCAGCCGGUUCUGCCGGUCUACUUCCUUUGGACGGGUCAACAUCGGUUUUGGUCGACGGAUAAUGGCGGGAGGAAGGUAGCACCUCUCGGGGUGUGUUAUAGCCUCCCGUCGCAUACGCCGGCCGAGACCGAGGAACGCAGCUCGCCUUUAUGGCAGGGGUUCGCCCUCUUUCGAGCUUAGGAUGUUGACAUAAUGGCUUUAA
rnacentral:rRNA from 2 species